rnacentral:rRNA from 1 species
CCUACGGGAGGCAGCAGUAGGGAAUCUUCCGCAAUGGACGAAAGUCUGACGGAGCAACGCCGCGUGAGCGAAGAAGGUCUUCGGAUCGUAAAGCUCUGUUGUCGGGGAAGAACAAGUACGGGAGGAAAUGACCGUACCUUGACGGUACCUAACGAGGAAGCCACGGCUAACUACGUGCCAGCAGCCGCGGUAAUACGUAGGUGGCAAGCGUUGUCCGGAAUUAUUGGGCGGAAAGCGCGCGCAGGCGGUCUUUUAAGUCUGAUGUGAAAUCUUGCGGCUCAACCGCAAGCGGACAUUGGAAGAUGGGAGGCGUGAGGUGAGAAGUGGAAAGCGGAAUGCAACGUGUAGCGGUGAAAGGCGUAGGGAUGUGGAGGAACACCAGUGGCGAAGGCGGCUUUCUGGUCUGGAACUGACGCUGAGGCGCUAAAGCGUGGGGAGCAAACAGGAUUAGAUACCCCGGUAGUC